GUUAGGCUGCUCGGGGGUCAGGGGUCAGGGACCCACUUGAGGAGGCAGUCUGCCCGUUCUCAGAUCUCCAGCUGCGUGCUGGGAGAACCACUGCUCUCUUCAAAGCUGUCAGACAGGGACAUUUAAGUCUGCAGAGGUUACUGCUGUCUUUUUGUUUGUCUGUGCCCUGCCCCCAGAGGUGGAGCCUACAGAGGCAGGCAGGCCUCCUGGAGCUGUGGUGGGCUCCACCCAGUUCGAGCUUCCCGGCUGCUUUGUUUACCUCAGCAAGCCUGGGCAAUGGCGGGCGCCCCUCCCCCAGCCUGGCUGCCGCCUUGCAGCUUGAUCUCAGACUGCUGUGCUAGCAAUCAGCGAGACUCCGUGGGCGUACGACCCUCCGAGCCAGGACUUGCCUCUCCAUGCUUAGACCUAGCAGAGAAAUCUUGAAGAUAUCCUGCUGAUUGAGUUUCACUCUUGUUGACCAGGCUAGAGUGGAAUGGAUGAUCUCGGCUCACUGCAACCUCUGCCUCCCGGGUUCAGGCAACUCUCCGGCCUCAACCUCCUGAGUAGCUGGGAUUACAGAUAAGAAUUAUUGCACCAUUUUUCAGAUGAAGAAACUGGAAAUUCAGAGGUGUUAGCUUGUCCAGGUUUUGACUUACAGUCUUCUUUGUCUGAUAUGAUAACAUUUACUUACUGCUUCACUGACGUAAGGACCAGCCCUCGAGAAGAAUAUACAGCGGUAUAGUGCAACUUUUUCUUCUAAAGCUAUUGAACUAUGGAGUAGUUGCCAGCAUCCUUCCUGCCAACUUGGCCUAAGAUUUCUCAAGGGAUACUGAAACAGAUUAAUGAUGAUUCUAUUUGUGGAUUCUGCAUUAUGAUUAAUGACCUAGCCGAGAGUCACUAGAAUACUUUUGUGUCCAUGGGAUUAUACGAUUAUUUCCAAGGCCAUCUGAGGACCUCAUAACGGCAGGAGACAGUGAGGAACAGUAUGACUCUUUCUUUCUGUGUAAUGUUUAGGGAUGUGAUUUGUUAAAAACAGAUGAAAAAAUCAGGAUGAAGGUCAACUUUACAAAAAAGAAACUCCUAGUCAAUAAAAGUUCUGCCAUACUCCCAGAA